rnacentral:rRNA from 1 species
GGUUAAGCGACUAAGCGUACACGGUGGAUGCCCUGGCAGUCAGAGGCGAUGAAGGACGUGCUAAUCUGCGAUAAGCGCCGGUAAGGUGAUAUGAACCGUUAUAACCGGCGAUUUCCGAAUGGGGAAACCCAGUGUGACUCGUCACACUAUCAUUAACUGAAUCCAUAGGUUAAUGAGGCGAACCGGGGGAACUGAAACAUCUAAGUACCCCGAGGAAAAGAAAUCAACCGAGAUUCCCCCAGUAGCGGCGAGCGAACGGGGAGGAGCCCAGAGCCUGAAUCAGCAUGUGUGUUAGUGGAAGCGUCUGGAAAGGCGCGCGAUACAGGGUGACAGCCCCGUACACAAAAGCGCAUAUGCUGUGAGCUCGAUGAGUAGGGCGGGACACGUGGUAUCCUGUCUGAAUAUGGGGGGACCAUCCUCCAAGGCUAAAUACUCCUGACUGACCGAUAGUGAACCAGUACCGUGAGGGAAAGGCGAAAAGAACCCCGGCGAGGGGAGUGAAAAAGAACCUGAAACCGUGUACGUACAAGCAGUGGGAGCCUCUUUUAUGGGGUGACUGCGUACCUUUUGUAUAAUGGGUCAGCGACUUAUAUUCUGUAGCAAGGUUAACCG